GACGAACGCUGGCGGCGUGCUUAACACAUGCAAGUCGAACGGAAAGGCCCUGCUUGCAGGGUGCUCGAGUGGCGAACGGGUGAGUAACACGUGGGUGAUCUGCCCCUUACUUUGGGAUAAGCCUGGGAAACUGGGUCUAAUACUGGAUAGGACCAUGCUGUAGGUGGUGUGGUGGAAAGAUUAGUUUCGGUAAGGGAUGAGCUCGCGGCCUAUCAGCUUGUUGGUGGGGUAAUGGCCUACCAAGGCGUCGACGGGUAGCCGGCCUGAGAGGGUGGACGGCCACAUUGGGACUGAGAGACGGCCCAGACUCCUACGGGAGGCAGCAGUGGGGAAUAGUGCACAAUGGGCGCAAGCCUGAUGCAGCGACGCCGCGUGGGGGGUGACGGCCUUCGGGUUGUAAACUCCUUUCAGCCAUGACGAAGCCCUUGUGGUGACGGUAGUGGUAGAAGAAGCACCGGCUAACUACGUG
rnacentral:rRNA from 1 species